GGAAAAAUAAGGGGAAGAGGAGAAUAUUCACAGGAUUCUUUGUAGAAGUGUUAUCAACUCUUUAAUGAAUGGAAGGUUUUGAAAACUAUAUUUCAAAGAUCCAGUACCAAGAUGGCAUUCCUUAACAGAUAAUAUAUUGAACAUGUCUUGUCCCAUGUGGAAGAGUGAGCUAAGGACAGAAUAUUACAAAGAAAGAAAAUACACAAAAAUAAUACAAGAAAUUUGCUGCCUAUGGACUUUGAAACUGGAAGGACUGCAGAGAAAUGAACUAGAUUGAAGGAGUUACUGGAGCUGAUCUUCACAGGAUCUGAGGCAGUUAAGUGGUCUGCAGCCCAGAAAGCUGCUAACUUUCAAACAUAUUUUGGGCAAAAGGCAGGUAUAGCUGCAGAGCAUGAAUCUCAUAAUGCAGAUUUUGCAAACUUUUUGAGCUGAGCUCGCAAUUUUUGUUUCCGCACCCUCCCCCAACCCAGACAAAAAUAAACACAUGCAAAAAUAUGCUUGAUAGCUUACUCAUAAACCUAACAGAGACCUUAACACAACUUUAAUUACAUUACCUACACCUGUAAGUUUCAAAUACACAGAUACUUACCAACGACAUAGCCAAGGCUUCCUCAGCAGUGGGCUGCUUCUA